CCUGAGGAAGGCUCGUCCGCUCAGGGUUAGUCAGGACCUAAGCCGAGGCCGACAGGCGUAGGCGAUGGACAACAGGUUGAUAUUCCUGUACCACCUCUUUAUCGUUUGAGCAAUGGAGGGACGCAGAAGGAUAGAAGAAGCGUGCGAUUGGUUGUGCACGUCCAAGCAGUUAGGCUGAUAAGUAGGCAAAUCCGCUUAUCGUGAAGGCUGAGCUGUGAUGGGGAAGCUCCUUAUGGAGCGAAGUCUUUGAUUCCCCGCUGCCAAGAAAAGCUUCUAGCGAGAUAAAAGGUGCCUGUACCGCAAACCGACACAGGUAGGCGAGGAGAGAAUCCUAAGGUGUGCGAGAGAACUCUGGUUAAGGAACUCGGCAAAAUGACCCCGUAACUU
rnacentral:rRNA from 1 species